AUUGAACGCUGGCGGCGUGCUUAACACAUGCAAGUCGAUCGGUAACAGGUGUAGCAAUACAUGCUGACGAGAGGCGGACGGGUGAGUAAUGCUUGGGAAUCUGCCUAUUAGUGGGGGACAACCCGGGGAAACUCGGGCUAAUACCGCAUACGCUCUACGGAGGAAAGCCGGGGACCGCAAGGCCUGGCGCUAAUAGAUGAGCCCAAGUCGGAUUAGCUAGUUGGUAGGGUAACGGCCUACCAAGGCGACAAU
rnacentral:rRNA from 1 species